UAGAGUUUGCUGAUAGGGUAAACCAUCAUCUGGUCGGUUUAAGCCCCGUAACUCAUAACUCAUGAGCCUCCGACGAAGGCAUUUUAUAAGGUAGUCCCUAGAGGACCCGGGCUAGGCCCUUUAACCAAAAAAAGGUCAAGCCCGACUCACAAGCGUCAAGCACUUGAGAGCUGGGGAACCCCUCUGCCCCGUCGAACCUCCAGACGGCCCAUUGAGCCUGUCAAACCCCCCGAGAGCUGUCGAACCUCCUGGACCAAUCGAUUUUCCGGGAGCUGACGACCGUCCCUCUGCGGUCCAUCGAGGUGGUGAACCUCCUAGGCCCUUCGAACCUCCUAGGCGCAUUGAACCUCCUGGACCCGUCGGACCUCCGGGACCCAACGAGCCUCCUUCGUGGCCAUUGAGCUAGCCGUACUUCCUAGGCCUGUCAAGCCUUCGAGACCCGACGAACCUCCCCCAGUGGCCCAUCAAGCCUGUCGAGCCUCCUCACAGAAAUGAAAGCUUGUCUUACAUACGAAGGGUCUUUGCUCAAACGAUGCGGUGCGGCAUUCCCAUUUCUGGUAGCUGCGGGUAUGUAUCCUAUGUUUCUUGUUCAUGACUUUCUUGGCCUGCGUUUCUUCUCAUCAUUAGCAUAGACCCAUGUGUAGUCUCAAGGUAUGUGGAAAGGGUCUGCCUCGUCUUUAUAGAGGUGGCUACCGCUGUCGCUUGAUUGGCUUCCGCGACUCCCUCUCAUCCAAGAUAUCCAUGAUAUGGACCCCUCAGACUCCUCUGUUUUGGCAUCCUUGAAGCUGGCUGGACUUGAUAGAGGAGUCGAGAACUCUUCUACAAGAUGAAGCUCCUCAAACUUCGUAAAUGUUACGAGGACUCUGAUAGUGGGGACAAUGUGAAUGUACAAUAUAGUCACCAUAACCAUAUAGGUUUAUUACCACUACCUUUACUAGCAUCAGAUUUUCAUGCGCAAAGAUUUAUAUCAUGACAGAGUUUUGGGGUUC